ensembl:lncRNA
AGGUCCAGCGGCACCGUGUUUUCUCUUGUCUUCGCCUCUGAAAUGCUCUGAAACCUUUUUUCCACGGUACGUUUUGUGAGCAGUGUUGCCGAGUCGACUAACGUCAGGAUGCACAAGGUGAGACCAGCGUGGGAUCUUUUUAAGAAUAAAUCUCACAUUUUCAUUCAACACACUCUGUUUCUUUUCGCGCCCUUGAACUGUCAAAAUGUCUUGUUUUUUGUUUGAUCUAUGACGGCUGCCUCAAUACAAACAUUUGCACACAAUACACGCAUGUAUAAAAGCAGAGCGACACUCAAAGGAUGGAGAAGAAAAGCAGAACACGGUUUCGUUGAAGAAAGAAACAGAAGAAAGAAAAGAACAGAAAACAGAAGAAAAGGAUCUACGAUGGCAUUGAUCCCAACGUCAAUUUCUGUGAUCUAACGUGAAGCGCAAAUCCUUUACGACUAGAAACAUUGCCCAUAGUGCAAUGAAUGCUGGUUAUAGUUGUUUCACACCGAUGGGAAGUAGGAGCAGAGUAGUGCUCGGAGGCAUCUGCUACUCUUCCCUCAACGGCUGGAAGCGACGCACCACACCCAAGCGUUCUGGCCGGACCAGCCCUUAGUUAAGCUGCUAUAGGCUUAGAAUGCCGGGGGAAUUCUUAGGACACACCGAGCUCCUCUCUCACGCUCUCUUUCUACCAUAAUUCAAGUUUUAUUAAUGCACAUGACUAAUUCAGCUUCUUUCCGGGAGUUUUUUUUGUGCUUUCGCCCCUAUCAGGUCUCCAUAGAUCGUGGUUCCUUCGGGACCCUGGUCCUGACACCUACCGUGGCCAUGCUGACGCCUGCUGCUGCCAUCAUCAUCAUCAUCAUCAUCAUUAUUUUAGAUAUUAAUCAUAUUACUUUACUCAUAAACCGACAUUACCCUCUCCUAAAGUCUCUGUGCUCUCCCUCCCCACAGGAUUCUGUGGAUGGUGGUUCUAUCUGAUGGUGGUUGCCCCUGCAGUGGUCCUGCUGUGCGCCUGGCUUACUACUCACAAUUACUUGAAUCAUUUCUGUCAUAGGAAUUGCAUGUAUUAUACAUUGUUCAUUCUGUACACAUGGCAUCCAUUGUAGUCUGUCCAUCCCGGGAGUGGGAUCCCUCCUCUGACGUUCUCCCUAAGGUUUCUUCCCUUUUUUCCCUCUUGUAAGGGUUUUUUCAUUUUUUGGGGAGUUUUUCCUGUGCCGAUGGUGGGUUUCGGGGCAGAGGAUGUCGUAUGUGUACAGACUGUAAAGCCCUCUGAGGCAAAUUUGUAAUUUGCGAUUCUGGGCUAUACAAAAUAAAAUGACUUGACUUGACUUGACUUGGCCUUUGCUCGGUUCCGCUUCGGUCCAUAUCACCUUCACUCAAAGGGUGUUUAUUGCCAUUUUCCCUGCACACGCGCCGCACACUCCGGCGACUUCAAACGCCAUAUUUCCUCUUAUUGUUACAGUUGUGAUGAAUCACAUCACCAGAGCUGUUAAUUGGUCUCCUAGCAACAGCAAACAAAACAUCAGCAAUACUGUUUUGCGCACCGUUGACUAAGUCAGAGGAAGACAGCGUAAGCCUGGACACCAAAUGCAUCAAAGAUAAUACAUUUUCAUAUCAUUUUUAGAUUGUUUAGGUGGUUGUAACUAUGUGGUUAUGUCGCAGUGUGUGCAGGCUCAGUGAUGGAGGAUGCUCGCUGUUAGAGACUAUAGCGCUCAGGGUUCUUUCAGUCGCAGUGAUAGAUUUUAGGAGACUGAGAAAUCAAAACCAUUUGUCAACAUCGACAGCUGUGCCGGCAGUAAAAGGAGGAAACCUCCUGACACACUAGACCGACUUAUGAGGCAUUGGGCCUUUCGGGAGGGACGAAGAACUCAUUUUCUCUGCUUUGUUCACGUUUUCGUCAUCAAACUGCUGAGUCAGCACGGAAAAUUAAAAGUCACCGUCGUGUCUGGGAGGUUUUCCUUCAUGCGCUAUUUUGCUGAAAGCCAGCCCCCGUGCACGCUGUUACUUUAAAGAAUAGUCUAUCGAUUUUAGAUAAGUAAGGACUUUAACAUAAGGCCUGGUCUAAUACGAUAUGUUUUCUGCUGAUAAAUUAGCGUAUUUUUGCAUUAAAUUGAUUCAGAACCAGAUUCUCACCCACUCCUGACAUGAAAUGAAUGACCUUCACACUUCCUAUUUGCAGGAAAUGCAUUGUGUGCACAGGAUUGUGGGUGUUUUAGGUGUGCAGCCGAUACAAAGAAGCAUCUUUGAAAAUCCUCUGAACAAAGAACUUAAAGAACUUAAAGAAGAGCUGUUUGAUAAGGCGGUUCCUGAGCGUCAGGAGUCUCGUUUGUGUGUUGUGUUACUGUAAUAUGUCUCGAAAACGCCGUUUGACCCGUCCGCGGUCACCGAUACAGAAAAGCUGUGGAAAGGGGCCCGAGCGCUGCUCUGACAGCUGAUCCCCCGAGGCAGACAUGGUUGAAGAUUAACGGCCGUUGAACUUCUUUCGUGGAGGCGCAUUCUGAAAGGGGAAAACGUUUAUUGCUUUAAAAUGUUGAUUGCUUGACGCUCAAUCAUCCCUGAGACCUUUCGUGUGCGCUGUUGUGUUCGAUGUGCGGUCUUCUGCAGCUAACUGCCGCACCUCGGGGCGACAGAAAAACAACACUCCUUUCUCAUUCCAUAAUUUUCUCUGUGCAAUGAAAACAAAGCGAAGCGGUUUUAUUUCACUUGGCGGUCGUUGUGAACGCGGUGGAACGUAAAAAAAAAAAUAAAAGGAUCAAACUUGAUUUAAGAAUACGUUCCAUCGCCUCUGUCGUGGAUAAUUAGGUGCCUCGGCUGCAGGUGAGCGGAUGGAGAAAAGUCCACCGCGAGCCUCAUCAGCAUGUGCAGGAGGACAGCGUGUCCGUGACAAACGACUCUGCGACGCCUCACUGAGCGCGCGCAAAUAGAGUGUAAAAUAUCCAGAACACUGAGCCGGAGAGUUCCAGAGCGAACGAGGAACAACUGGGAUUCAUUUAUUAAAGAAAUGGAAGUUCUUUAAAAGACUGGGAAGAAACAGCUAAGCUUUCACAGCAUAUCAAUUUCUAUAAAUUCAGCUCAGACAGGCCCUCAAGCUCAAUUAAAUGAACAUGAACAUUUUUUGGAGAUGCAUAGAAAGCUGCAAAAGGGGAGUUUCUUUUACUGGACGCAGAGUGUGUUUUUUUAUUCCAAAAGCAACUUGCUGCUGGAAUAACUAAUGCGUUUGAAAACGCCGUCAUCCUCAAACUUCUGAGCUCAUCUAGCGGUUCAUUAACGCCUCAAAGCGAACAGGAUCUGGUCCAAAAGCAGCCGCUAUCUGCCAAAAGCUGCCCGUGUUCAAACCUGUGAGAUAGAGCUAGUUACAGGGAACGAAACAUUAAGAAACACCACACACUUCUGAGGCCUUUAUUGCUCAAUUAUAAUACGGGUAGAUGAAAUCCGGCACUCUGAUUGGUUGAGAGUGAGUCACGGGGAGUGCUUUACUGACCCAUGAUGUACUGUACCUGUUUACAUUGACCCGAGCGUUCCAUAUCGCUGCACACUCAAAUUAAGAGUUUGCGCGACCGUGAAAGUUGUCUUUUCAGUUUUUAGCUGGUUUGCGAUUGCCGGGAAAAGACCGGAAAACGCAGCAAAUGACCGGUUUCCGGAUCCUUUUAGCCAAAGAGGAUAAUUCAGGUGGUCGUUAUAUGAUGUGAAUGAAUGAGAUGGUGCGAGAUCCAAAAUCGACGUCCUAGCUAAUCAUCAACAAAAGCAUUGGAAAAGUUAUGUUUCCAAUGCUGUUUCUCUGUUGCGCGGCAACUUCUCUACGCUCAUGAAAUGCGACACACAACAUUUGGUGCUGAAAGGCAGCUAUUUACUUCCUAUUUAUAAGCAACCGUAUUAUAAAAGCACUCGAGGCAGUACUUCAUCGUCAGUGGAAUUUGAAAACACAGCAGCUCACACGUUGUGGCACUCAUCUCACCGACUUUGUGCAGAGUUAAGCUGCGAUGUCGACAUGAUGUCAGAGCACCUCGUGAGUCUUUACUCUACGUCGUCGCGACUCAUCUGCUUUAAAGCAGACGUCUCCGGGUUGAGCCGUCCGGCGCUCCGGCGUGUUUACGCCACGGGAGCUGCUGGCGUCGCAGAGCUGUCACCGGCGUCCCUCCCGACUCCUUAGCGACCAGAAACGUCUUCACCGCCCGGGGCCGUCACGUUAGGCCUCACUGCACAUCCCGUCCUUUGUCUCAAUGAUGAAAGCAACACGCCUGUGUGGGCGACACGGAGGUGAUGGUUCACUGCGCUGAUCUCGCCUCAUGUGUUCAGGUCAUCGUCUCAGGCAACAUUUUACCUGGACGCUAAGCUGCAUCGCUGCAAUCGAGCUUCUCUAAAUGAUCAUUUUGAAAACGCUCAACCAUUUUCAAUCAAAUCCAUGAAAUUUGUGGAGCUUGCUGGGGACGAGUAAUGACCUCGAAGCACUGAGGUUUCUUUGUUCUGGAAACAUCACUAUGUAGAAUAAUAUUACUGUGGUUCGAACGUAGUUCUUUGUCAAUUCAUUGCACUUGUCUGUUCAUGUUAGGUGUUUAAAAUCUACAAACCCCUGAACCACAGGGACUAAGGGGGGGAUCCCAUUCUAAUGCAAUGACUACUGGACACAUGGAGUAUAAUUAAACAAAGCUUUAGUCCACUUACCAAGAAUUAUUUAUUAGAGAGUUCCUUAAAAAUUCUAAUUUUGUUUGAGAGGAGAAAAAACUCCUCCAAGUCAGGUAGAGACCUGUCAAUCUCAAGGUAGCCCCGCCCUAAAGCCUGCUUCAUGGUCUGUUUGACUCUGAAUGGACCAUCAUUUACUAAAUAAACAUCAUGCUGUAUUGAAGAAGACUUAAAACUAGAGAUUGAGUCCAUAAACUCGUGUUCGUAGCGUUUCUCAUAGACUCAUUUCCAUCCUUUUAUGGGUAAACAUACAAAAGCGCAAACAGACCUUUGAAACUUACUACUGAGAGAUUUUCAUUCCCCUUCAAUGAGGAAAGACAAUCAACGAGCCGCGAGGAGGAAGAAGAGGAGGAAUCAAAGACGCACCAGAGGAACCAGUGGAACCAGUGGAACCUGGAGUUUGUCAUUCAAACGAAAGUGCAAAGGCAUGACGCGGAGCGGACACUUGAUUUAUAAAGCCACAAAGAAAAAGAAAGUCUUGCUGAAUCACUCAACGACAAAACAGAUCACAAUAAAUCAGGAUGCAGUUUCUUAAGGAGCCUGAAAUCACCUUUGAUGCAUUGUAUUGGUAAAGAAACUGAGUCACAACUCCUGACAAAUAGAUCUGGUAAUUGUAACAAUCCAUCAGUCGGGAAAAGAGACAAACAAGGCGUGCCGACCUUCCUUCCAGCUUUACUCCCGUCUCCUCUAAUUGCUCCACUCUUAAAUUGUUGUGUUUGUAGCCGUGUAGUUUUUCUGUAUCCCUUAUUCAUCGAAUCUUCCCACAAAAGUCUCAGCUGAUUUUCACCGGAGAGACACAUUUUAAUUGGAUUAAUCUGUAAAAACAAACACAGCCCUUGAGAGUGUGCGAUGACCUGAAGGGAAAAAAAGUUUUCAACCUUGUGAAGAUUUCUGACUCUCGACAGCAACCAAAGACUCAGCAAACGCUGGAUAACUGAAAACUGUACUUGCGAUUAAACGGCACAUCGACUGGCAUCUGUGCUUUCUGUGCAGAAAGAUGUUGACCAGCAGCACAGAGGACCGUCUUCUCUCUCCUCAAGUGUUCCAGCACGUAGAAAACCGGACGAGGCGACGGCCCACGUGGGUCGUGGACCCCCGGGGUUGCACGGGAGGCCCGGCGCUGACCUCAGAGGCUGUGUGAUGCUCGGGUUUUGGAGACGAUGACGACUGAAAGAGGGAAGAGGAGCCACGCUCACACACAAAGCCCAGCAGACGCCCGUCCUCCACCGCUCGAGGGCAGGACCUGAAGUCUCCUCUGAGGGUUUGAAACGGGGGGGAGAUGUUUUUCCGGCCGAGGCCACGGCCUUCGAGCGGAGGGAAUAUUCAGCGUGACGGCGUGCAUUUAGUUAUAGUCCAUGUGUAGCCGGGGACCAGCGUUUAUUUCACCAUGACUCUACUGCGCUAAAAGACGACGCACACGUUUCCACAUGAAGCUCUUCUCCUGCAGUCGAAGGCUCAGGUCUUUUUUCCACUUAUCUCUGCCCAGCGACAACUACCUGCAGCUGAACGUUAGAAAUGCUUUGCUUUGACGUUGCAUUAAACCCACAACGCGAAAUAAUGAUCUGGGGUGAAUGAUUUAAAUAUGUUGAGGCUGUGUGCAAUUUAAAGACACAACGCUAAACUUGUUGUCUGGGUUCUAAAGUUCAUGUUUUUGUGAUGAUGCCAAACUGCCAGGGCUUCUCGUGCAGCUUUAAAUAAGCAGCGGUGUCUCCUUACGUCGCUACGUGGCCUUCCAAAGCUCAUCAGCCGGCAUCACGAGGGAGAUCGAGAGAAAAGGAAAUCCAGGUGAGGCGCUUCUGCCUCGACGCCGACUGAGCUCCAGCCGCAAAGCGUUAGCCGUCUCCAUCGGGGAUUAUUUCAAUCGCUGGUCGCUGGUUCUGGAUCCUUCCUUAAUCCUCUCCGAUGAGUGACAUCAGAAUAAGGCGGGUUUUUUUUGGCUUUGUGCUCGAUAUGCUUCGCCACGUGCGCGUCACAGAGCCCUCUGCCCGAAGCCGCCUGGAAGGUGAUGGCGUUCUGAAACUAUUAGACUCGCCCAAGAAUAUUAUUAUUGAUUUUGAUCUUGAGCUACGGCCUGUUGAAUGCACCGGCUUGUUUUUCUCACCAGCAAACAGCAGUCGUGGGAGCUAUCGUUCAGCACUAAUGACAUCAUUGCAGGGAUGCCUUGUCCACUGCUGAACGGCUGAGGUAAAUAUAUUUAUUUAUCUCUUUCCCAGACAGGUUCGAGGGGGGAGAGGAGAUUACCUGUCGAGAUUAUGCCCAAUGAUUAAUGUUUGUUUGGGUAUGGCGAGAUAAUGCGCAUUUGAUUUAAUGACUAGAAUGAAUCGCUUCUUUGCGACUUGCAAUUGCAGACCGGGUUCUUUUAGGAGGGGGGGGGGGUACUAAACGUGGAAGAUUAAAUCACCAAAAUCUGGCUAAAAAGACCCCUUUGUUAAUUCUUGACAAUAAUGUCUUGUUUCACACUCACAAUCCAUGAAAGAUAAAGUGCCUGUGUGCGUGCGUGUUCUUUCUCCAUCUGUCUAAGUCGACUUGUGGAUGUCUAGAUGCAAUUUGGGGGGGGGGUUGAAAUCACAGCCUCAUUCUUUCUUGCAUAUUUCACUGGAAUACACAAGUGCUGCUCAGCACAGACAAAAAUACACCAACCGUUAAUGAUGCCCCCGCGGCUUCAAGCGGGCUGCAAUCAACUCCUUUUUCAUCAAAGUACUCUUUAAAGGUGCCUCGCUGAUUUCACAUGUAUGUAUAUAUAAAUAUAUACCACCCAAGCUCAGUCUCAUGGAUGCAUUGUGCCUCACGCCAUUAGAAGUAUGUCAUGCAAUGAAAGUGGGUGAUGUGAGUUUCCCCGGCCCAACAUGAGACGUGAGCAGAUACUGUUUGUUCCUGCGGCGGAAGCCUCAAGCCGACUUCCAUCAGUGGCCCCGUGUUCCCGCAACCAUCUCCUCCGCGGUGUGUCCCCAGCGUAUUAGUGGCAUUUAAAUGAAGCGAGCCGAGAGGCUGCAGUAAGCUCAGACAACCAGAAGUGAUGGAGCACCACUACCCUGCAUCCAGCCUGCAGUCAGCCGCCCCCCCCCCCCCCCCACCAUGAGAGGGAAACUACUAAUAAAUGAGUUACUCCAGCUGUUUGGCUCCUCGGUG